GCCGGGUGUGGUGGCGCACAUCUGUAAUCCCAGCUACUGGGGAGGCUGAGGCAGGAGAAUCGCUGGAACCCGGGAGGUGGAGGCUGCAGUGAGCCAAGAUCAUGCCACUGCACUCCAGCCCGGGCGACCGAGCGAGACUCUGUCUCAA
rnacentral:SRP_RNA from 1 species